UAAACUUCAUGACCUUUCUUUUUCUCCUACCUUUGUUUUUCUUCAAGCAUGGUCAGUUUUUCUGGCAGCAUACCUUCUUCUCUUAAGGAAAGAACUAUCCAGGAGGCCAAAGUUAUAAAGCAGAAGCUCAAUUUAAAACCUUGUGUCAGGGUUACAAGCUCUGCAAAGUCGGCUGCAGCAAAAUUACCAACCCAUGGAGCAACUCAUGGAGAGAAGAAUGAGUCAGUGGCUGGAGGUCUAAAGUGGAAUCUUCUUCCUCCCUCUGCCUGAUCAAAUAGUAGUACUUGCAUUAAAAGGCAGAAAAAGAAAAAAAAAACGGGAAAAAUGAAGAGAUGGGGAAAGAUCGUGGUGAUGAUUACCAAAAGGUACCUUUUUAGAUGCCACAUUUUGUAAUUCUUCAGCAACCAGGG
rnacentral:lncRNA from 11 species